UACAACUCCGGGUCCAUUGGUUCAGGGAAUAGCUUCAACAUCAGCUGAGGAAAUCGGCCUCCAACGCUUCUAAAAACAAUGCAACAUUUGUCGAAUGUAGAAUUCAUGAUUUCAAAUCAACAGAAAGAGUGAGUGAUCUGAUGAAUGUAAAGGAAAUAUGAGUGUAAAUAAAGUAGAGUACCUGCUCUAUGA